rnacentral:rRNA from 1 species
CCUACGGGUCGCACCAGUGGGGAAUAUUGGAUAAUGGGCGAAAGCCUGAUCCAGCAAUGCCGCGUGUGUGAAGAAGGUCUUCGGAUUGUAAAGCACUUUCGACGGGGACGAUGAUGACGGUACCCGUAGAAGAAGCCCCGGCUAACUUCGUGUCAGCAGCCGCGGCAAUACGAAGGGGGCUAGCGUUGCUCGGAAUGACUGGGCGUAAGGGCGCGUAGGCGGUUUAUGCAGUCAGAUGUGAAAUCCCCGGGCUUAACCUGGGAACUGCAUUUGAGACGCAUAGACUAGAGGUCGAGAGAGGGUUGUGGAAUUCCCAGUGUAGAGGUGAAAUUCGUAGAUAUUGGGAAGAACACCGGUGGCGAAGGCGGCAACCUGGUUCGAUACUGACGCUGAGGCGCGAAAGCGUGGGGAGCAAACAGGAUUAGAUACCCCUGUAGUC